UAGAGAACACACGACCAUGUUGCUGUGAGUGCCCUGCCCUCAUAAGAUUAUUGCGGUCCAAGGACAAUGGGUGGUACAUAGCUGAGCAUCGAGAUGUGCACAACCAUGCACUGUCGCAAACAUAUGGUCAGAUGAUCCACUGGCCAUCACACAAGCAUAUUGAUGUGUACAGCUGGGAUCUUGUCAAACAACUCUGGCAAAACAAUGUCAACCUUGCGAAGGUCUACAACAUUAGAGCUUUGCGAAAUUUGUGUGGUAAGAUAAGCAGGGAACAGGCAGAGGACGAUGUGAGGAAAACAAUGGAAGGUGAUUGAACCAGGAGAGUUAUUUGAUUGUUUCUGUGGUCAGUUUGCGCACAUGAGCCUCCUAUGCAGCCAUGUACUCAAGGUACUUGAGUUCAUCCAUGUGAUUGAAAUUCCGAAGAAACACAUAGUAAAACGAUGGACCAGAGAUGCUCGAGAUAUACUUCCAGCACAUCUUUUUGAGUACCAGAGGGACAAUGCCCAAGAUAACCCGUUUAGUUUCUGGCACUUCAAUAUGUAUAUGCAAGCUAUGGAGCUUGUCCGUAUGGGAGACUCCAGUGUGGCAGCGUACGGCCAUUUAAUCUCAUCAUUCAAGCACUGUUCUGAGGAAAUGAAGCCGUUCACAGAGGUCCGUGAUGGUUUAGGACUAGAAGACAGGUUGGCAGAAAAUGGCAAUGUUACGGAGCAACUACAAUCAGAUGGUGAUGUCUUACUAGGAAUAGAGGUUACACAAAUUACCAUGGGCAACGAUGGCAGCAAUUCAGGUGAAAAUCUGGAAAUAUGCUAGUCAGGUUAUUACCACCAGCUAAACGGAAGCAACUAGGUAGACCAACAACUAGGAGGGAGAAGGCACCAUAUGAAGGUCUCAGUAAAAUAACAAGAUUCUGCGGCAUAUGCAGACAGCAAGGGCACAAGCGGACAACCUUUCCCGAACGCGGGGAUGUACCAAAACAGCCUCGUAAGCCAGCAAGAUGCAAGAACUGUGGUAUUGAAGGACACCGUCGGAACAACUGUCACAAAGCAGCAGAACUUAGGCUGAGAUGACUGACAAAGGAGACAAGUUCCCAGGAAAAGCUGGCCUGAAGAGCCACUUGCCAGGAAUGUUCUUGAGUUCUGGGACAAAAUGUGCAGAAGCAGCAAUAGAAAUCUCAGCUAGUGAGCUAAUUAUAUUGUAGGAUACAUCGCAAAACUUCUUUAAUGGCUUGUCUAACGCGGAUGUCUGUCGGAUGUGUUUCCGAACUGCAGAAAAUGGUACAAGCACCUUGUACCAUAUCUGAUAGUGAUGUCAGGUGAAGACUUUGUGAAUGAAUUUGGUCCUGAUGAGCACCUGACAUCAGUCGGGUGGGCAGCUGCGUCAAGAAUGCUUGUGUACAAGGAUGGGCGAAUGUACGGUGACUGGGAAAUCAGGUGGCAACACAUACUCGACUUGCGAUUUGUGGCGAGUUCAUACUUACGUCCCCUGAAAAGCAUGCUAAUGUUUUGAUACAAAUGAGUGAUUGACAUGUCUUGUUGUUUGGUCCUUGUAGCUGGCACUAAUGUGCAGGUCAUACACCUUAGAUUUCGAAUUCAUGAAUACUAUGAUGAGUUACGAGGCAUUCAGAUAUCACCUUCAGUGGAAAAAGAAGGUAGCAAUUUAAGUGAAUAAAAUUUGAGAAGGAUUUACUGAAUAAACAGAAAGCAUGGGACUACUGAUUGCAAAGAGGUGGAAGUAAUGAGAAAUGCUUACUUGUGCUUUGCAGCUGAUGCUCCCAGUUUCAAUGAUGGAAAGCUGGUCACUUUAUGUCGUGGAUGUCGAAGAGAGAACACUGUUGGUCAUGGACCCAUGUGAGACUUCAGAGCCAAUUGAAUACAAUUCAGAUAAAACUGUCUAACUGAUUCACAUGCACCGUUCUACCUGCAGAGAGGACUGUUGGCUGCCAUUGUUAACUACACUAAGGAGUACACUGGGCUAUAUCUUCGGAAUGAGCUAACACCAGGCCGGCUGACCUAUCUGCGCCAGUCAAUUGCAUAUGAAGUGAUCUCCAUGAGAGGGAACAUGGUGGAGCUGCCGGAUUUCAUGAUCGAGGAGGUCAUGCCAUUCUGAGAUGGUACUGGAUGACAUUGAUCAUUUUGGAGACAUCGUUGCGAGCUCGACAUAGGCUGCCGAGCAACAACUUCUUUGGAUUGCAUGUGUGGAUAUGUGAAAUGUUAGCUGCCAUCCCGCAUAUAUGGCCGCAUAUGUGGCGUGGUAAUGGUUCCUAUAUUUCCACGGGAGUACAACACUGUGACAGUUUGGGCCAAGAAGGGAUCAAACUGAGCUUGCACCCCAUUUGCGAUGGCGUGUAAGUGAUUGCGAUCACUGAUUAGUUAGCCCCCCUCGUCUAGUAGUUCAUCAGUUGAUGGUUGCG